rnacentral:rRNA from 3 species
CGUAAUCCGGGUUGCGGACAGUGUCUGGUGGGUAGUUUGACUGGGGCGGUCUCCUCCUAAAGAGUAACGGAGGAGCACGAAGGUUGGCUAAUCCUGGUCGGACAUCAGGAGGUUAGUGCAAUGGCAUAAGCCAGCUUGACUGCGAGCGUGACGGCGCGAGCAGGUGCGAAAGCAGGUCAUAGUGAUCCGGUGGUUCUGAAUGGAAGGGCCAUCGCUCAACGGAUAAAAGGUACUCCGGGGAUAACAGGCUGAUACCGCCCAAGAGUUCAUAUCGACGGCGGUGUUUGGCACCUCGAUGUCGGCUCAUCACAUCCUGGGGCUGAAGUAGGUCCCAAGGGUAUGGCUGUUCGCCAUUUAAAGUGGUACGCGAGCUGGGUUUAGAACGUCGUGAGACAGUUCGGUCCCUAUCUGCCGUGGGCGCUGGAGAACUGAGGGGGGCUGCUCCUAGUACGAGAGGACCGGAGUGGACGCAUCACUGGUGUUCGGGUUGUCAUGCCAAUGGCACUGCCCGGUAGCUAAAUGCGGAAGAGAUAAGUGCUGAAAGCAUCUAAGCACGAAACUUGCCCCGAGAUGAGUUCUCCCUGAGACUUAGAGUCUCCUGAAGGAACGUUGAAGACGACGACGUUGAUAGGCCGGGUGUGUAAGCGCAGCGAUGCGUUGAGCUAACCGGUACUAAUGAACCGUGAGGCUUAACCUUACAACGCCGAAG